rnacentral:rRNA from 1 species
UACUACCGAAGCUACGGCAUCAGUAAUGAUGGGUAGGGGGGCUUCCCAGACGGGUUGAAGCAUGACCGUAAGGACAUGUGGACAGUAUGGGAGUGAGAAUGUUGGCAUGAGUAGCGAGAUGUGGGUGAGAAUCCCACAGGCCGUAAACCCAAGGUUUCCAGGGGAAGGUUCGUCCGCCCUGGGUUAGUCGGGACCUAAGCUGAGGCCGAAAGGCGUAGGUGAUGGACAACAGGUUGAUAUUCCUGUACUACCGAU